CUCCCCUGGGCCUGGCCGGUGCAGCUUCCCUUCCUGCUCCCUUCUGCUUUCUCAAAAAGUCUCUUCUCUUUGCCUUUUUACGUUAUCGAGCAGCAAGAUCGGAAGAAGGAGCUAGAUAGCACUGGCUCUCAUACCCUGGUUUUGUGCACCGGGAAACUGAGGCUCGGAGAAGAGAGAAGUCCAUGGAAGCCAAAGAACCCAAGGCCCACAAAAAUGCACACAGGUGAAGCAAGAAUCCCCCCUAAGCCCCCAAGUGACCACAGCAGACAGACAGGCUCGGGUCUGUGACCCACAGGCCCAGGUGGGCCAGGCUGCAGGAUGGAGGAUCUAUGUGUCUGAAGGCUGGGAGCUCGUUUUCCUGCCUGGUAGAGAUUCCUGGGUCCCCAGGAGAUGAGCACUUUCAUAAUGCCCCCUGGAACCCCCAUAUGGCCAGAGAUGGGGUCCCAGACCCUGAAGACACUGAGUCUCCCCAUGGGAAGAGACCCUACCCAAGGCCACCAAGGGACUGAAAACUAUCCUGCCAGCCUGGCUGUCUUCCACGGUGCAGUCGGCAGUGGCCCAAGGGAGCAAGACGGUCCAAUCCAAAUGCCCAAGGUCACCAACUGCAUGGAAAACAAUGGGCAACAGGUCCAGCCAUGGCCGGAGCCAGAACAAAGGACUGGCACUUCCUCGCAUUCAGGCCCCUCCUUCAUGGUCUGCCAAGGCCAGAGGAUGGAGGAAACCUUCAUCAUGAGGCAGGGAGGUUGUGUCGGCUGGUCUCAGAGAGCUGCAGCUCCCUGUGUUGACAGAGGAGCAGAAAGAGGGACCAGCUGCUGGAGGCCCAGCUCAGCCUGCUGGGAAGCAGGGAGACUGGGGGGAUCCGAGACCAGUCCUCCCACCUUCCUGGAUCACUCAAACCGGGGUAUCUCCCACCUGCUCCUCCUCUCCAUGGCCCCAGCAUCUCCCCUCUGAUCUCCCCUCCACAUUGUGGCUAUUCAGUCUUCAGAAAACAUUAGGAUCCACCACUGCUCUGCUCUGAAGCCCUCUAUGGCUCCCCAGUGCUCCCAGGAGGAAGUUCAAGCUCUUCGGCCCUUCAAGAUUCAGUCCUACAACUUUAAUCUUCCCGUGACUCCCAGGCGCCCCAGGUCCCCUCCCCCUGAGAGUCAUGCCCCUGUCCAUCCCACCUGGAGUGCCCUCUGCCCCUCCUCCCCACUCCUCUCCUUAGGGUUGGGCCUAAAUCUUUUCCCUGCCCAGAAGCCUCCCUGACUGCUCCAGCCCAUGCUGGGUCCCUUCUUCUGAGCUCUACGCCCCAAAUAAAUCCAAGAAUCAUCUGCGUCAGAGGCUUGAGGAUAGGAAAGGUAGCAGAAUACAACAGUUACUAAUAGGGCAUUAUGUAAAAAUGUGGAUGUGUAACCGAUGUGAUUCUGCAAUCUGUAUUUGGGGUAAAAUUGGGAGUUCAUAACCAACUUGAAUCUAAUGCAUGAAAUAUGAUAUGUCAAGAGCUUUGUAAUGUUUUGAACAACCAAUAAAAAAAAAAAAAAGAA